UUGAAAUCUUUAUGUACCUCCCACCCCCCACCUUGGCUAAGCUUGUUAUGGUUUACUAACCGCUGGGAACCAAGUACAGUCAUUCCUUGGUAAUGCAAAUGUCUGUUAUUUCUUGGACUGUUAUUCCAGCCUACUUCUUCUAGAUGUGUCUGGCCAUUACUGGGAGUUUUAGGGUAUCAUGUUUUUAGAACCCUGUGACUUCGUUCUGGUUUUAUCUUGGCAUCCUAGACUCUUCAAAGCUCAGAACAGGAACACACAUCUAGUCUAGCUUCCCUUUACAGAAGAGAGAACUAAGAUCCAAAGACAUUAAGUGGCCCAAGAGCCAGAACACAGGUUCCUUGACUCCCAAUUCCUGAAUAAUAACAGAAACACGGGACUAACAAAGUACAAUUUGGGGUAGAUAAAGAGGGUGGCAGAGAAAGAACAGAUCCAAGAACACUUCAUCUGCCUGCAGUGCAUCGCUUUGUAGGGGGCAGCACUGCACCACUGUAAAUAGGCUGGCUGAGAUCUGGGAAUGCUAAUCCCAGUCUCCCCUUCUCUGCUCCUCACCCCUCUGGUCCAUCUGAAAUCCAGGGAGUGGAAAACAAAUCUGCUUCCCAGAGAGUGA
rnacentral:lncRNA from 12 species